rnacentral:rRNA from 1 species
CCUACGGGAGGCAGCAGUGGGGGAUAUUGCACAAUGGGGGGAACCCUGAUCCAGCGACGCCGCGUGGGUGAAGGAGUGCUUCGGCAUGUAAAGCCCUAUCGGCAGGGAAGAAGCAAGACGGUACCUGACUAAGAAACCCCGGCUAACUACGUGCCAGCAGCCGCGGUAAUACGUAGGGGGCGAGCGUUAUCCGGAUGCACUGGGGGUAAAGGGAGCGUAGACGGGCAUGCAAGCCAGGGGUGAAAGCCCGGGGCCCAACCCCGGGACUGCCCUUGGAACUGCAUAGCUUGAGUGCGGGAGGGGCAGGCGGAAUUCCUGGUGUAGCGGUGAAAUGCGUAGAUAUUAGGAGGAACACCGGCGGCGAAGGCGGCCUGCUGGACCGCGACUGACGUUGAGGCUCGAAAGCGUGGGGAGCGAACAGGAUUAGAUACCCCAGUAGUC